rnacentral:lncRNA from 1 species
UUUUGGAUUUGAAGAAAAAAUAAAAGGAAUUCUAUCAAUUUUUAUUUUCCAUUUAUUUAGUUUGUUUUUCUUAAUGAAAUUGAAAUUAUUAACUAACAGAGCAAACACAAAUAAAGAAACAACUUUGCUGACCACGAUAGAUUUUUAUCUAGUUGGAAGAGUCCUCUUAAUAUUCAUCUAGUCUUAUAUAAGUUUGGGUAUAUAGAAAUACAAACAGAAAAGAGAGGAUAGAGGAUAGGCUCAUUACAAUA